GAUGAACGCUGGCGGCGUGCCUAAUACAUGCAAGUCGAGCGAACGGACGAGAAGCUUGCUUCUCUGAUGUUAGCGGCGGGCGGGUGAGUAACACGUGGAUAACCUACCUAUAAGACUGGGAUAACUUCGAGAAACCGUAGCUAAUCCCGUAUUAUAUUUUGUACCGCGUGGUUCAAAAGUAAAAGACGGUCUUGCUGUCACCUAUAGAUCGUUCCGUGCUUCAUUGGGUAGUUGGUAAGGUAACGGAUUACAAAGGCAACGAUGCAUAGCCGCCCUAGGGGGGGGAUCGGCCACCCUGGAACUGAACAACGCUCCAGACUCCUACGGGAGGCACCAGUGGGGAAUCUUGGGCAUGGGGCGAAGUCCGGACGGACAAACGCGGCGUGAGGGAGGAAGGUCUUCGGACGGAAAACUCCUGUUAUUAGGGAAGAACAGAGGGGUAAGGAACUGUGCACAUCGUGACGGUACCUAAUCAGAAAGCCACGGCUAACUACGUG
rnacentral:rRNA from 1 species